UACGUAGGGGGCUAGCGUUAUCCGGAUUUACUGGGUGUAAAGGGGGCGCAGACGGCGAUGCAAGCCAGGAGUGAAAGCCCGGGGCCCAACCCCGGGACUGCUCUUGGAACUGCGUGGCUGGAGUGCAGGAGGGGCAGACGGAACUCCUGGUGUAGCGGUGAAAUGCGUAGAUAUCAGGAGGAACACCGGUGGCGAAGGCGGCCUGCUGGACUGCAACUGACGUUGAGGCCCGAAAGCGUGGGGAGCAAACAGG
rnacentral:rRNA from 1 species